rnacentral:lncRNA from 9 species
AGGGAAGUCUGUCUGCUGAGAGGCGAGGCUGCAGUUCAGCCCCACGGUUUUUUUGGCCUGCGGCAUCCCAGCCUUGUAGCCUACAGACUGUUGAGGAGCAGGGCAGGUCUUGAUGCUAAUUACCUAAGCAUGAUAGCUGCCUCCAGCAAGAGUUCAAGUAGAUGAACCUUCCUCCCCAUUUCUGCCACCAGCUUUCACCCCGGAGAGAGCCACAGCCACCUCCUGCCUCCCGCCUCGCCAGGAGACCCUCCAAUACUAGCAGUGAACAGGAACCCUUCAUUAUCCAUGCUUAGAGAAGACUGGACUGAUUAACAUAUGCUCGUCAAUGAAUCCUCAGCAACUAGCAUAGUAGCUAGACCGUAAGUGCUCAGAAAAUUUUGUUUCAUGCCUAACUAUUGCUAGUGACAUUAUAUUGUUUCAAAAGUAAGGCAAAGUGAGUAGUUUGGAAGAGACAUUUGGAUCAUAAAAGAUUUGUAAGGAAAAAAAUCAAGUUGGACUUGUGUGUGAUCACCAGUGAUCACCAGAAGAGAUGAAUCAAUAGUUCUUUUUUCUACCCUUUCUUACCCCAACCACAUUUGAGAUAGUCAUGUGGUUUCAAUCCAUAAAAAAAUACCUACACUGGAUCAUAAACAGAGGCUAUGCAAUUAGAAGUAGAAAAUAAAAUAAGUGUCUGCCUUGUAGAGGUUAAACGUGGUCUUAGCAGAAGGUGAAAAAUUAUCAUUCAAAAUCCUAUUUAGCCCUAAGUUUUAAGAAGUAUCUUACUAAUUAAUUCUUCUUAUUAACCAGCUUUUCAAAAUUAGUGUAAAUACAUGCUUCUCAGAUCAACAUGUACUAAGCCCAAAAUAGAAGGAGAAGUAUUUUGGAAUCAGCACUGUACUUUCUUUGAUCCUGAGGCCCUUUCCCAUAUGGUCGGCUGGCUGUAAAGCAUCCACUGAUCCAAGAGGUUGCUGUCACAUCAGAACCAGGGGGAAAACAGGCAUUAAAUUCAUGCUAAGAUAUAAAAUGCAAUGUUUUGGAAGACUGCCUGAUCUUUUCCCCAAAUUGAGUAGAUUCAAAAAUAACAAGAAACUCUCUAGUUUGCACGAAAAAGGGUAAAAAGAAGAGAACUAUGGAAUUAGACUACUGCCCGUGGUCUCUAAAUUCUCCUAGGCUUAGCUCCUUAAGGCAGUAUGAUCACAGAAACCUCAGAGGAAUUAGAGAUCUGCGAGUGAAUAUCACAUGCAUAUUUCUGAACCAAUUACCAUUUUAGCAUCUCAUAGGAAGUAAGAAUUGAGCAGAUGGAAAGAGGGAAGUGCAUCUUAUUAUGAGGAAAACGUUGUGCACAAAAGCAGGGAGAUCUUUAUGUUCCCCUUUUCCCUAUCAUCACCAUUAGGCAUUAGUUACCCAUAACCUUAUGAGUUGCUUCAUAUCAGUCAAGAGUUGGACUUGUGUGUGACCACAUAUAACCACAUAUGAUGGGCAAAAGCAAGUUUUGCCACAAUAUGAGGGUAUCGUUUGCUCAUCCUUCCCCCCCUUUUUAGCGUCUUCCUAAAGUUGCAUAUCAAUAUUAGUUGAAACAUCAAUUCAAAAUAGUCUCAUUAAUUCCACUGCCAUGAAGUUAAACCAGCCUGACCCUACUUUCACGUCUGAAGGACAGUAUUUGAUCACUUUAAGGAAAAAGUUGUGGAGUUAGAAAAUAUUUUCCAAAUUGCCAAAAAAAAUAAUAUGUUCAUCUUUACCCUUGUGAUGUAGAUACUAAUAAAGACUAAAGAAGAACAUCUCAUUUGAUAUAUAUAUAAAUGAACUUCCAAAGAAUUUUCCAGAAGACUAAAGAUAAAGUUAGUUCUUGAAUAAAUGAAAACAAUUAUUGUGAAAUAUUUUCUGAGAACUAAAGACAUGCAGAUUUGUAAAGGAAGAUAUGCUACAGGGUAAAUGUAUACAAUAUGACAAUGUAAUUUUAUAUUGCAUGAAAAAUUUUUUUCUUUUAUCUAAAGCUAUUUCCUGAAUACCCAAUACUACUAGCUGGCCUUUU